rnacentral:rRNA from 1 species
AUACAUAGGGGGCGAGCGUUAUCCGGAUUUAUUGGGCGUAAAGGGUGCGUAGGCGGUAAAUUAAGUCUAAGGUUAAAGUGCAGGGCUCAACCCUGUGAUGCCUUAGAAACUGGUUUACUUGAGUUUGGAAGAGGUAAGUGGAACUCCAUGUGUAGCGGUAAAAUGCGUAAAUAUAUGGAAGAACACCAGUGGCGAAGGCGGCUUACUGGGCCACAACUGACGCUGAGGCACGAAAGCGUGGGGAGCAAACAGGAUUAGAUACCCUGGUAGUCCACGCUGUAAACGAUGAAUACUAAGUGUUGGAAAAAUCCAGUGCUGAAGUUAACGCAUUAAGUAUUCCGCCUGAGUAGUACGUACGCAAGUAUGAAACUCAAAUGAAUUGACGGGG